UACGGAGGAUCCGAGCGUUAUCCGGAUUUAUUGGGUUUAAAGGGUGCUCAGGCGGGCCAUUAAGUCGGCGGUGAAAUUUUGCGGCUCAACCGUAAAAGUGCCUUCGAUACUGGUGGUCUUGAGUGUGGAUGAGGUAGGCGGAAUUUGUGGUGUAGCGGUGAAAUGCAUAGAUAUCACGAGGAACUCCGAUUGCUAAGGCAGCUUACUAAGCCAUAACUGACGCUCAAGCACGAAGGCGUGGGGAGUCAAACAGGAUUAGAUACCCUGGUA
rnacentral:rRNA from 1 species